rnacentral:rRNA from 1 species
AACGAACACUGGCGGCACGCUCAACACAUGCAAGUCGAACGAAGCAUAGAUUUCGGUCUAUGACUGAGUGGCAAACGGGUGAGUAACACGUGGGAAUCUGCCCUUUAGUGGGGAAUAACUUUGGGAAACUAAAGAUAAUACCGCAUAAGUCCGAAAGGAGAAAGACUUCGGUCGCUAAAGGAGGAGCCCGCGUUAGAUUAGGUAGUUGGUGGGGUAAAGGCCUACCAGGCCUACGAUCUAAGCUGGUCUAAGAGGAUGGUCAGCCACACUGGGACUGAGACACGGCCCAGACUCCUACGGGGGGCAGCGAGGUGGGGAAUAUUGGACAAUGGGGGAAACCCUGAUCCAGCGAUGCCGCGUGAGUGAUGAAGG